rnacentral:rRNA from 1 species
CGGCGGACGGCUGAGUAACGCGUAGGAAUUUGCCCCUUUGUGUGGAAUAGCUCACCGAAAGGUGUGGUAAUACCGCAUGGUCACGAGACUUUUGUUUCGUGUAAAGGACGUAACUGUUCGCAAAGGGAUAAGCCUGCGUCCUAUCAGGUAGUUGGUGAGGUAAAAGCUCACCAAGCCAAUGACGGGUAGCUGGUCUCAUGAGGACGACCAGCCAGAGGGGGACUGAGACACGGCCCCCACUCCUACGGGAGGCAGCAAUUAGGAAUAGUCGGCAAUGGGCGAAAGCCUGACCGCGCGACACCGCGUGUAGGAUGAAGGUCUAACGAUCGUAAACUACUGUGGCAUAGGAAGAAGAGCGUAAGCUUUGACGGUACUAUGCUAGAAAGGGGCCGCUAACUGCGUGCCAGAAGCGUCGGUAAGACGUGGGCCCCAAGCGUUAUCCGGUGUAACUGGGCAUAAAGUGUCACGUAGGCGGCUACGUAAGUUACCUUUUAAAUUUCACGGCUCAACUGUGAAACUGGGGGUAAUAC